UCAAAGAUCCACCUGCCCCUGCUGGGUGCUGGGACUAAAGGCCUGCACCACACGCCUGACUGGUGAAUUGUCUUCUAAUUCUAAAUCUGGUACUAAGUGCUCUAAGAAAGCUCAAGAGGCUCACUGGUGUUGUGGUGGCCCAGGGCGUCAGUAGUGCCGUGACCUCCAGCAAGCGUAUGGCCUGGCAGUGGAGACUGACUAACCCUAAGGAGAAGGACCCACAUGGAAAAAGAAGACAGAUCCAAGUCCUCGGACUUUCACAAGUACGCCAUGACAUGCACAGCUUCGCGCCUUCCUUUUUGUGGCACAGGGUUGUUGUAUGACAUCAUUUCUGGGGCGAUAAGAAGAAGCAUCCUCUCAGCCCAGAUAGAACUAACACCGUGCCAAAGUAAGAUCCCAGUGUGGGUGAGGGGUUACUUAAAAGAGCAGAAGCCACUGAAAAGGAGCUGCAGCAGGAACUGUGUUUCUUACUGGCCUGGAACUCACUACAUAGACCAGACUGGCCUGAAGAAUCAGAGAUCUGCCUGCAUGUGCCUCCAGAGGGUGAGGAUUAAAGGUUCCCCUCGUUGAUGUGCUCAUAGAUCGCGUCUGCGCCCUGAUCCAAGGCACGCUCGAAGAACAGGGCGCCCACUGCGAUGGUGAGGGCGAAGGUGGAAGUUCUGCGGAACAGCAAGGAGUACAGACGCGAAGGGAUCGUCGGCAACGACAUGUUGCCUCACUGCCGAACUCGCGCCACUGCCAGAUGUAUUUCUUUAUGUUCCGGUGCCACAUGCAUGCCUGGUACCUGAGGAUGACAGAAGAGGACAUCAGGUCCCCUGGAACUUGAGUUGCAAUUGUAAGCCACCUUGUAGGUGCUGGGAAGCAAAGCUGGGUCCCCUGGAAAAGCAUCCAAUGCUCUUAACUGCUGAGCCGUUUCCCAGCCCCCUUUUAAAGGUGUUUUCUUUUGUUUAACUUGCUGUGUAGCUGAAAGUGUCCUUGAAUUCCUAGUCCCGGCGCUCCCAUCUUGGUUUCUCUCCUCCCCCUGCCAUGUCCAAAUGUGAGUAUUCUUCUUUGAAUCUUUUGGAGGACACAUGCCUAGACUUCUCCUGGAAAGUGGCCUAAGAGGAAACUAAUGGGAUUGUGGGUAAAAUAAGUAUGGCAAUAGAGUAGAUGAGCAACUACCACAUGAUUUUCCGAAGAGGGUCUCCAGCGACAUGGCCACCAGCAGGGUAUAACUUCUGUGUUCACACAUUGUCCCUAGCACGAGGUGAAGUCAGACCUUCCUCAGGCUCCUUUCUGGUGGGUUCUUGGAAGCCCAUCUCUCUUUUGUGUGUUUGCUUAAUAAGUCCUGCAGUGAGCUGCGGGGCCCUUUCCUGUUGGCAGGGAGAGUCAUGGUCUUUAGCUGACACUCUGCGUCACACUCAGGGCUGAAGUAGUCACAUAGAUCUUGGCUCAAGGCUCUCUUAUGGAUCCUGGUAAAGCUCAAUAGGCCAGCAAGACAGACUGCCUCUUCUUAACCACUGAGCCAUCUCUCCAAUCACUUAGACUGCCUCUUCUUGAUAUGUGAUGGUACCCAGCGAACCACAGGAUCUGUCUCCACUCCAGGAACUCUCCAGAGGCCAGCAGCAUUGCCCUUUUAAGGUGGAAAAGGGUCCCACCCCUGCCAAAGAGCGGCAGAAAACGAGAAACGGCGCUUCCUGAUAUUCUCCCUGGCCCUUGUAUCCUGUCUUCAAGCCUAAGGCCAAACAGCUCUGGGUCUCCCCAGACUGUCGCCACCCCCGUCUCACCCUCAUACCUAGCACAUCCCCAAAGGGUCUCUGAGCGCCUCCAUCAGGAAGAAGUCAGCGAGCUUGGCAACAGAUGACUUAGAUGACUCUGGGUCUUACAGACGUCGGGAACCCCACAUGGCCUCUGCCUCCUGCCCCACUCAGCACCGCUGCUCCCUGAAGAUGUACCGCUUGCCUUUGGCACACAAGCUGCCCAGGCUGCUCAUAUUCACAGUAGGCAGACUGCUUGGCGCUGCAGAGCACUGUAGUUUUCAAGGCCCAGUCUCAGUCCUGACUCCAUCUGUCCCUCCUCAGCAGGCCAGGGAGGGGAAGAAGGCUGCUCAAGGUCCCGCACGAUGAGAGCUCAUCCCUUGGUGCUUCCAGUCUCUAAACCACACCCCUUUCUUCGGUGCCCCUUCACCAGACUCCUGUCAGACUCCCCGUUUUUGCUCAAUCACUGGCUGCCCCCACACCAUCCCUGCUGCCCCUCAUGUGGGGAAGUAGGUGGGUGGGCAAUAAGAAUACAGCCACAAAGCCACAGGAUGAAAAGAAACCAAAAUCCUUUUUUUUUUUUUUUUUUAAUAAAUUUAAGAACAAUCCCA
rnacentral:lncRNA from 1 species